rnacentral:miRNA from 1 species
GCAAGCACUCUACUACUGAGCUACAGCCCCAGCUCCUCUCAUUCUUUUUUAUAUCUAUAUAGUACUCCACUGUGUGGACUGUACGUAGUGUUACUUGGAUGUUGGACACAUUUAACCAAAUAAAAAUUAAGAAAUUAAAUUUUAGGAGCUGCGGUUGGGGCUCAGUGGUAGAGUGCUUGC